rnacentral:misc_RNA from 1 species
AAAAAGUCUACUCAUUAAUUUCCUACUGCCGUUCCUUAUUUUCUCUCCACUUUCUUGCACUUUCCCACUAACCAAACACAACCUCACUCUCAGCUAUGAACAUUAUCACAUAGCCUCAGUCUUUAUCUAUGCAAGCGCCCACAGGUCAGAGACAUCAAAUAUUCCAACUGGAAGAGUAAAUUUGAAAGUUUGCCCAGGGCAUUUUCGGGAGCCAAAAAACUAUAGCGGACAAUGUCUGUCCCACCGCGAGUCCGGUCGAUGGACAUCGCCGAAUCGGAGAACAAGGCGCCGCAAAAGCCGGUGAAGAAAGCUGAGAAACCGCAGCAGCAAGAUACUGAGUCUAAGGAUAAGAAACAUGGGAAAGUGGCGUCUGCUGUUUUGCGACAGAAGUCGAUGAAUGGGUCGUGCUCAUCGGACGUCUCGUCGGAUUCGACGCACAGCCGCGCAUCGUCGUCGUCCUCGCUUUCGUCACGGUCAUGGUCGAGCGGGAAAAUGGCAGUGGCGGCACGGAGGAAUGGAGUUGUAAGGAGAAAACAGUGUGAGGUGAAAAUUGGUAAGGAGGCGAAAACCGGCGGUGACGAUGACUGUUUGGCGGUGGAGAGUGGCAAUGUGGUUAGCGGAAAUAGUGGACCACUGGAUGCAGAUGAUUGCUUGGAAAUUAAGAAAAGGUGCGGUUGGGUUACUCCCAAUACUGGUAAGUUACUGUUAUGGGUAUAUGUUCAGUUGAUUUUUCUCUUCUAUUUUCUUGCGAUUUAUAAAUGUUGAAGAAUUGGGAUAUUUCUAUGGUGAUGGGUACUGCUAUUUUGAGUUGUUUAAAAAUGAGUAGGAAUGGGUAUCAUUUAAAGUUUUUUUUCUUUAUUGUGGGUCUGAAGAUUCAUGCUAAUUGUUGAAAAUUGAAGAAACAAGAACAAAUAGGAAUUGCAUAUUUAUGUUGGAAUGGCCAUUCAAGUUUUAAUCUAAUUUAAAUAACUUGUAGGCAAGCUAUUAUGAUCCAUAAUUCUACUUGUGAGGUUGUUUUAGCCAUUAGAGUCCACUCUGCCCUUCAUGGGGUUUUAGAUUCUGAAAUGUUCUUAGGUUUGCAGCUAUAACACUUAUGAUUUCCUUUUUCAUGUUUCCAGCUUUCUAGUUAAAUGCUAUAAGUUAUGGCAUAUUAAUUGGAAAAGUCAACUUAUUGGACCCAGUUUUGUCCUGGGUAAACUGUUGGGGAAGGUUCUAUUUAUGUCAACUUUUGUUGUGUAUAGAAGAUGGAUACAACUUUAGUGCAUAGGCUUUCUUGCGGGUGAGCUGAAUCACAAUGAUGUUAUAUAGCAAAUUAUUGCUCUAUUAUUUUUUUUCUUAUUAAAAGAAGGCCUUCCAAAGAUAAAUGAAGUUAUUGAGUUUCGAGACUUGAAGCUGCCUUUUAAGCAUUUAAACAGAUGAAGUGCUUUUGUCAGAGUAAAACUGACAAAAUUCCCUUCUGAGGCUAAAAUUAUCUGGUUCCGUAAGUGGUAAGCAUCCAUGCUGAAUAGGUUUUGUCAAAUAAAUUUCUAUUAGGUGAUGAACAUUUGAAGCUUCAAGGAGAUAGCCUGCCACUCUUCCAUCUUCAACACAUAAGCACAGGGAUAGAAGGGGAUUUGUCAUGACACUAAAUUAUAUAAGCAGUUGGAAUAAUUAUUAAGUGAAAGUUUUAUCUCACGGCCAUGAUAUCCAUCUGAAACUAUGUUCAUGAUUGUUUGCGCCAUAAAUUGAGUGAUAUAUUUAGAAUUUAUUCAAUUAUGUUAUUGUUCUAAUCUCCUCAAAUUCUUCUUUCCAUGUUCUCUUCACUUUGUAUAUUGAAAAUUAAUGUCCUUAAUGAAUCCAUGCAACAAAUUCCUCACAAAGUAGAUUUAACAUUAUGAGUUAACCACCUUGUUAUAUUAGUGAGUAAGAAGCUUGCCUAGUAUGCUUAAUGCUAUUUCUGGAAAAGAAGAAAUUGACCUGACAAUACAGGAGAAACUGAUUAUGAGCAAGCUCUUUUGGUAAGACAAGAUAGAAUUGAUAAUAAGCAAGCUCUUUUGGUAAGAAAAGGGAUAGCUGCAGACAGCUAAGAAUCCAAACUCUCCUAUUAUUGCUGAUUAUCAUUGCUAAUAGUUGGACAGAAUGGAGGAUCAGAAUUCUCCUAUUUACUGAUACCUUAUGGGUUGUUAUGUCUCUGAAACAGGAGCUAGUUUUCAUAGGGGAGAUGGAUUCCAUCUGUGUAUUUGUUUUAAAAUUAAUAGCUCGUAAAUCUCCUUCCUAAAAUUCAUGAGAGCAAUUGCUUUUGACCUAAGAAUAUGUGUAGUGUGAUGCAUCUGUUGGAAUAAAAGGGAAGAAGAAGAAGAAGUGUAUCUUUGAUUGAUAAUAAACUUAAACAAGUGAAUAUUAUAUCAAAAUUUCAAAAAUAUGGCAAGAUGUUCUUUUCUUGAGGAUAUCAUGUCAAGCCUUGACAACUGUGUUUGUGCGAAACCAUUGUUUGUGCAUAGAGUAUAUUUGGUCUAUGUCUACUUCUGGACUUGAUUAAUAUCAAAGCUGGAGAUGCUUAUUCACAUGCUCAAGGGGCAAGGUCUAUAUGUAACUGCAAGCCUAUAAAGAAUGUUCUGAAUAAAAAUCCCUUCGAAUAUCUGAUGUUUUUAAUUAGGAGGCUUUGGAUAUUUUCUUACUUGCAAAUUUCUUCCAUGUAGUACCUCAUGUAUUAUGUACAUGAUAUCUCACAAUUAAUUCAAUUGCUAUUUUUAGCUAACUAAAUUUUUCCUCCUCCCAUUGUCCAGAUCCAUGCUAUGCAACUUUUCAUGAUGCAGAAUGGGGAGUACAGGUGCAUGAUGACAAGAAGCUGUUUGAAUUGCUAUGCCUCUCAGGUGCUUUGGCUGAACUUACGUGGCCUGUCAUUCUUAACAGAAGGCACAUAUUUAGGGACGUGUUUUUGGACUUCAAUCCAAUUGCUGUUUCAAAAUUAAAUGACAAAAAGAUAGCUGUGCCAGGAAGUCCUGCCAGCUCACUACUAUCAGAACUAAAGCUGCGAUCCAUCAUUGAAAAUGCACGUCAAAUGUGCAAGGUCAUAGAUGAGUUUGGUUCUUUUGACAAAUAUAUCUGGAACUUUGUAAACCAUAAGCCCAUAGUUAACCAAUUCCGGUACUCCCGUCAAGUUCCAGUCAAGACCCCAAAAGCAGAGCUCAUAAGCAAAGAUCUAGUAAGGAGAGGGUUUCGUAGUGUGGGGCCAACAGUCAUUUAUUCAUUCAUGCAGGCAGCUGGAUUGACAAAUGACCAUCUCGUCAGUUGCUUCAGAUUCCAGGAGUGUAUUAAUGGCACAGAAGUAAGGGAAAAGGAUGAGAGUCUUAAGCCAAAGACUGAAAAGAAAGAAACCAUGGAUCCAAUCGAUGUGGGAAUACCAAGAGCUAUGGAUAAUUAUAGUUCCUCAAAAUAACCAUGUCUUGGUCGAUUAGCUGUUUUCUAUGCUGGGCAAUUUUUGUACAAAUAGUUACCACUACUGCUGAAAGUUACUGUAAAAGCAGUGUUUUGCAUUUUGGUAUGUAAUUCCUUAUUUGAAAUGAUGUGGCUGUAUUAUACAAGUAUUAUUUUCUUCAUUCAAGUGUAUGCAUUGAAAGAUUCUUCAAGAAAAUCUAUGUGCGCCCAUAAUCAGAGGACAUCAAAAAGAAAAUCUCUCUAUAUAUUAUUUAUGGCAUCAGUUGUUGGUAGGCUUUCAGAUUCAGGGCAUCUUAUUUUUCCUUACACCAGAAUGGAAGGCUGCUACAGUAAUGAUGAGAGCAAAUGAACCAGCAGAUUCUUUUUAUUCAGGUGUUUCAUUUUCAGCUAGAAGAAAAAUACUUUUCAAUGUUCCUUGUAUUUGUUUCCUUCUGUAUGUGCCGCGCAUUCAUGUUUAGAUUCU